GACGAACGCUGGCGGCGUGCUUAACACAUGCAAGUCGAACGGAAAGGCCUUGCUCUUGUGGGGUGCUCGUGUGGCGAAAGGGUGUGAAUCACGUGUGUAACCUGUCCCUGACAGUGGGAUAACAUCAGGAAACAGGGGUGAAUAUAGGACAGGAGCUCCUGCUGCACGGUGGGGGAUGGAAAGAUUCGGCGGUUGGGGAUGGACACGUGGCCCAUCAGCUUGUUGGUGGGGUAGUGGCGUACCAGGGCUUUGACGGGUAGCCGGCCUGAGAGUGUGACCGGCCACAUUGGGACUGAGGUGCGACCAAGACGCCUACGGGAGGCAUCGGUGGAAAAUAGUGCGCGAAAGGCGGAAGCCGGAUGCAACAACGCCGCGUGCGAGAAGACGGUCUUCAGGGUGUAAACCGCUUUCGCCUGUGACGAAGCGUGAGUGACGGUAAUGGGUAAAGAAGCACCGGCUAACUACGUG
rnacentral:rRNA from 1 species